rnacentral:misc_RNA from 1 species
CGCCUCACACAGCAUGUCUGGCCAUCGUCGUGCGCGAAUGUCUUCCCGAUGCGGUGCAGGUCCCAGUGACACCGGGGAAGAUGCCCGCUGCAGGUCUUCGCCGCGAGUUUUUCGCCCGUGCAGCGCUGACGCGAUGCGGUGCAUCGCGCACAUUGACAUGGACUGCUUCUACGCUCAGGUGGAGGCGGUGCGCCUCGGCGUGGACUGCCGCGUGACGCCAUUCGCGCUCGUGCAGUGGGGCAGCUUCAUCGCGGUGAACUACCCGGCCCGUGCGCGUGGGGUGAGGCGGUUUUGCCUCUCGCCGGACGAGGUAAGGCGCGAGCUGCCGGAUGUUAAGAUGUCGCACAUCGCCACAUACGCCAUGGGUGAGUCCGAGUACUGCUACCCAGAGGCUCCGCGCAUCAACACACACAAGGUGUCCUUGGAGCCGUACCGACACGCGAGCCGACAGAUCUUUGCCAUUCUCCGUGCGGAGCCCGGGGUGGUCGUCGGGAAGGCCGGCAUUGACGAGGCGUACGUUGACGUGACGGAGGCGGCGCGACAGGAACUGGCGGAGGUGCGUGCUGCCGCCGCGGGUGCCUCGCUGGACCCGCUGGCGGACGUGAUGGAGCCGUCGACGCGGCUGAUUGAGGACCGGCGCGCGGAGAUGGAGGCCUGGUUCAGCGCUCGCGGGACGUCGCUGGCUGCUGUGUUCGACGAGCCGAUGCGCGCCCUGGUGCGUGGCGAGUGCGGCGCUGAGCUGGAGGGAAGCCGCGCAUUCUGCGUUGGCGUGGACGACGCUGCGUACGCGGAGCGGUGCCUGCUGCUGUGCGCUGCAUCGCGCGUUGUGCACCGGCUGCGGCAGCGCAUCUACGCGGAGCUGCAUUACGACUGCUCUGCUGGGAUCGCGCACAACCGCGUGCUUGCGAAGUGCAUCAGCGCGACGCACAAGCCGAACCAGCAGACGCUGCUGCUGCCUGACCGGAGCGCGAGUGCGCUGUUUGAGCUGCCGCUGAGUGGGCUGCGCGGGUUUGGUGGCAAGCUCGGCGCCGCUGUGAGCGCUGUGUGCGGCGGUGUGACGGAGUGCCGCGAGGCGUGGCUUGUGCCGCUUGCGCAGCUGUGCAAGCUUGACGGGACGUGUGAUGUGGGCGACGGCGCGGAUGCUGAGGGUGACAGGGAGGGCCACGUCGAUCAAGCCUCUGCGGCUUGCAGGGGGGACACCAAAGUCGACAAUGGUGGCGGUGGCGAGGACUGCACGGAUGCCCAGGGCAGGAUGGGCUUGUACGCCUUCUACCGCUUACGCGGCUUGGGUAGUGACACUGUUGCUGAUCCGGCGUUGCCGCGGGGGAUAAAGGCGAGUAAGAUCUUCCACCCAGCGUGCAGCUCGUGGACAGCGGCGCAGCUGUGGAUAGCGCCACUGGCAGGGGAGCUGUGGCACCGGUUAAGCGAGUACGAGUCGCGCUACCACAAAGAGGGCCGAAGUUUGGUGCUUGUGUUGCGCGCGUACGUCACCGCUGAGCAGGCGCGUCGUGGGCAGCACACUCGAUCCUAUCGCGCGCAAGUGCCACUUCCGACGAACGUGCGGGACGCCAGCGAGAUCGCAGGCAUGGGGUUGCGCGAGUUUGUGAAGCUUAUGCGAGGGGUGACCACGAGGGGCAAGGGAGGCGAGCGGAGGCCGGCAUCGCCGACUCCACUGCCGUCGCCGCAUAUUCCCACCAAACCUCCGAGUAAAGUACCUGAUGCACCAACGGGCACUGCCGCGCCUUCGAGCGGUGUGUUGACGAUGCCUCCCCUCCAUGUCAUUGAGCUCUCGAUCAUCGGGCUUCGUCUGCGUCUACUGCAGGCGACGGAAGGGGGCAACGACGGCAUCACAGGCGGUGCUGGCGGAGAGACGUCGGCGUCACCGCAGCGUUCCCUGGCGGACAUGUUUUCGGCGCUCUCGGCCAACGCAGCAGGAUCUGCACUCACAGCUGUGCCUGGCGGGGGUUCACCGCGAAAGCGACACCGGAGCGGCACACGGGAUGGAGAAGUUGCGCGUGGGCCGGGACGAGAGGCCGUCGUGGAGAUCGACGAUGGUGACGAGGACGAAAACGUCAGUGAUGACUGCGUCCACUUCGACGUUCAUCUCGGCGAGGCCGCAGAGGGCAAGAGGAGCGACACGCCAUCUCAGCGGGGGCAGUCCGCGGGCCCAGCUGGAGCUUCGCCCCCACCGCUGAUGCGCACGCUCGAUGACCUUUUUUGUAGAGCUACAGCGGCUCCUAGCGCCUCUGCUGCAGAGACAGCGUCUGUGCCGACACGCGCAGUUAGGCGGGUGACAACGGUGUGCGUCGAGGAGGACGACGCAAUGGUAUGGAUGCCCCAGCAGAGUUGCGUGAGCAUCACCGAGGUGAGUUCCGGAGAAGACGAGACGAUAUCGUGAGUACUCUCGUCAGCAACGAUUCUCCCCACGUGCCGACACGUCGCGCAACCCCAUGGGCAAGGGGUGCGCGCUGAUCUAGAGGCGACUGUGGGCGGCAGCGGGGUUGGUGAUGGUGGUCGGGGUGAAGCAGUCUGGCUUUCCGUUUCCAAUCGCCUCUCCAUAUCCGUUGCGCGGUGCUACUCAUGGGAAGCCAAGCGGAGUCGCCCAUCCCUGUUGUUUUUCCAGCGCAGGAAAUGAGAGUGGCCUACAACGCGGCAGACGCGGGCGUUUGCGUCAGCACCCCUUACAGACGCGAACACAUACACAAGAUACGGCGCACGGACUCUACCGCCUCUCUCCAUAUCACCGCGUGAGGCGCAGACCCAGGUUUUGCAGUGCUGCGCCUUGUGGCACCACCACAGCUGUGACUCUUCUCUUGCUUUGGGUGGCUUUCGCAGCUAACCUCCGGCACUGACCUGUGCGUGUGUGCACGCUCACCGGCGGUGCGAGACUGGUGAUGUUGCGACUUCCUCCCACGACUUCUCCUCUCUCUUUCUAUCUUCCCACGCCCGAACCCCUUUUUCGAAG